rnacentral:rRNA from 1 species
GACGAACGCUGGCGGCGUGCUUAACACAUGCAAGUCGAGCGGAGCGGCGAACGGGUGCGUAACGCGUGAGUAACUGCCCCCCUCUCUGGGAUAACAGUUGGAAACUGCUGCUAAUACCGGAUAGUGGGGGAUGACUCGCGUCCUAUAGGCUUGUCGGUGGGGUAGUGGACUACCAAGGCGACGACGGGUAGCCGGCCUGGGCGGGCGACCGGCCACAUGGGGCUGAGAUACGACCCAAACUCCUACAGGAGACAGCAGGGGGGAGUAUUGCACAAUGGGGGAAAGCGUGAUGCAGCAACGCGCGUGCGGGAUGACUGCCUUGGGGUUGUAAACCGCUUUCAGCCAUGACGCGGUAGUAGCAGAAGAAGCACCGGCUAACUACGUGCCAGCAGCCGCGGUAAUAC